GACUAGGGAUCCAAAGAGGGUGCUAGACCCUUACCGCAUUGUUGACUUUUCGUACGCGUUCGUUUCUUGGAGUAGGGUUGUUUUGGAUCGCAGCCCAAAGUAGGUGGUAUACUUCAUCUAAAGCUAAAUACGACUACGAAUCCGAUAGCAAACAAGUACCGUGAGGGAAAGUUGCAAAGUACUUUGAAGAGAGAGUUCAAGAGGACGUGAAACCGGUAGGGUGGAAGCAGAUAAAGUUGACGAACGUGUGUCGUAUUCAGAACUACAAUUUGUGGUUUGUUUUUACGAUCGAUGUGGGCUGGCGUCUUUGGUUAACUUAGUGUCUGGCGGCAAUGGUGACCCUGCGGAGGGAUAAUCGGUUGUCGUGCGAUGCUUGGUAUGGCUAGAGGUUCGCUGGUCUUAUAGUCAUCGCUUUAUCUGACCCGUCUUGAAACACGGACCAAGGAGUGUAGCGCUUACGCGAGUCUUAGAGUGUGUCAAAACUUUGAGGCGUAACGAAAGUAAAUGUGGAUUUAUUCACUGACUUGGGAUGCGUUGUCUUUUUUGGAUAGCGUUGGACCAUGGUUUUAUCGUAAUCGCUUGCGAUGCGGUGAAAAUAGAGCGUAAGCGGUGCGACCCGAAAGAUGG
rnacentral:rRNA from 1 species